AUGAAGGUCUCUGGAACCUUCCUUUCUCCAGGCUGAACAGCUCCAAUUAUUUUAGCCUUUCCUCAUAGGAGAGCUGUUCCCCCCCUCUGAUCAUAGUUCAGGCCCUCCUCUGGACCUGCUCCAUUAUUUAUUGUGUUUGAGAACUCUAGUACUGGACACAAUAUUCCAGGUCUGGAAAAAAGGCAAUAUCAAGACUGCAAGUCCACAAGUACAUGAUCACUGUAGUCUAGUGACUCCAAUCUUGACACCCCCAAUAACUCACUUGCAUUGAUGGCCAUCAGGUACAGUAUCACAAUCUGUCUGGCAGGACUGGUUAUUAUCUGACGUAAGAAGUUACUCUCCAUGCAUUUCAGGAAUCUCCUGUUGUACUAGAUGCCAGAGUGGUUGAAGUGCCCCAGAAGGAUGACACCCUGCAGGUAUGAUGCCUCCUGUAGCUGGAGCAAGAAGGCUCCAUCAAUAGGAUUCCUGUGAUGAGGUGAGCUGUAGUGGAUACCAACCACGUUCCCUUUGUUGACUCAGUCUCUGAUUUUUACCCAUAUGCUUUAGACCACAUCAUGGCUGUUCCCCAGAGAGAGCUCUUUACAUUCCAUCCAUUUCUUGAUAUAGAUGGUAAUCCCUUUGCCCCUCUGUCCUGGGUUGACUAUAUGAUGCUUUAUCCCAAAUCGUCUUGUUUUGUUUAUACUGAAAAAUAAGUUUUACACCUUUAAGACUCUCUUCCAGAGAGUGAAGAGGGGAGGGAAGAAGUGCGCAAUUUGUUUUCAGACUGCACUCACUCCUCCACAUUCCUGCUCCUGGAAUGUGUUAUCUGCGGAUGGACAGACAGCAGGACAGAGCUUUUUUUUCCCCUUUUUUUGCUUUUAGUUAGUUUUAGCUAGCUGAGGCAAAGAAGUUCCUUGGACUGUGAUUUUCUUUUUUUUCUUGGACCUGUUCAAGCCUGUUCUAGACUGAACACCCAGAAGAGCAUCGGCCGCUCCACCUGUGGCCUCCUGGCCGGGCCUGGGCCGCGGCGUUUCCAGCGCCGGAGGGACUGAUCAGAGACUGAGUGAGCCGAGCUGCAACCUGGGGAGGGGACUGUUCUGAGUUUGCCAUUUUUUUUCUUGGGGCAGCAAGAAGUUUUAUUGUUUAAUAUUGUUUGGGUUCUAUUGUUUAAUAAACAGGGUUUUUUCCCACUUUUUUUCUCCAAGGAGAUAUUUUCUCCCGAACCAGUUGAGGGGGGGAGGGCCAAUUGAAUCUGCUUUUGUAGAGAAGCCCCUUUGGGGGUUAUCUCCCAAACUUGCCCUAAACCAGGACACCGUCCUUCCUCUCCAGUCCCUUCUAAACAUCCUGCAGCCAUGCUCCAGUCACAGGAUUCAUCCCACCAAAUUUCAGUAAUGACAAUGAGGUCAUACUUUAGCAGCAUGGUGGCUUCAAGCUCCCUGGUUUUUACUCAUGCUGCAUACAUUGGUAUAGCCACAUGCUGGUGACUCAUGGGCUGACUCCCAACACGUGGUGUUAUGACUGAAUUAUUUUCACAUUUGGAGCACUGCAGUAUCACCUCUAUGCUGUAUGUCAAGUAGCCAGAAGCUGGCAGGAGCAAGACUUUACAUUGCCCAUAACCAAAUCAAAAAUAGGGAAAGAUUAGCUGCCAAUGAGAUUUAAAACCACAAAGCAGAACCAAAGCUGAUAAGAAAAGCAAAACAAACUGUCCUUGUAAAGAUGAACUUUGCAGCUGACAUAAGAAAAGCAACCAUUAAGGUAAGCAGGUGUGUUACAAACCUCAAGUUAAAAACUGGAAGUAUUUUGAAAGGUAACAGAAAUUAAGAGCGCAUGCAAGCCUUGAGCUGGAAAACAGUCUGACCUUGAAGUAACUGAAUCUGCCUUUCUGGUUCUUUGGUCUUAUGGCCUUGGUAACAGACAAUAUGCCCCACUUCCUGGUACAGCAUAGCUGUAUAGAAAUAGCAAUGUCUGGUAUGAGACAGCGGGUCUCUGCCUCACCUGCUGCCUGCUACCCUGAUUUGUCAUUAACAUUGCUACUUCAAGACCCCAAGUGCUAGACAAAGCCAACUGGACUGCUCCAAGAUUCCAGACCAACUUUACCUGUCAAUGCAGACCCUGGACCAAGGGCAGGGAGGCUUCCCUAAUAACUGGGUUUUUUACAGAUCAGCAUAUUCAUUCUGCCCUGGAUGUCUCAGUCAGCUUGUGCUAUGGUAUCAGCUGUCACAAGAUCCAGCAUAGUCAUUAAUAUCCCAUAAGAACCACCACAGUCUUAUGCAUCUUAAUGCAGAUUUCCAGAUCUCCAGACUCAAAAUAACACUUAAUCUCUCCUAUUAAAACAAGUCUAGGAGAAAUCAUUACAUCUUGGGCAUGUGAAAUUUUCAGCUGAAGCACUGCCACCCACUUGUGAACACUUGAAUCAGCCAGGCACUAGUCUGGCAACAAAAGCAGCAUUUUCUCUUGUGUUGUCUAACAUAAAGAGCUUGCACAAACUUCUAGGUGAUAUUUGCAGAACAGCACCCCAAGGUUUUUUUGUUUCUAUGCUCUGUCUGGUAGGUGCCAGUUCAGCAUUAUCAAAAUGCUUGCUUGGGUAGUGCUUGCAAGGACUAGCAUGCAGAAGUUAAAGCAGCCUAAAAAGUUGUUAUAGAGCCUCCUUUAGAGUUCAUUAUUUACCACUGUAAAUUCUUAUUGAUACGGCACCACUGCUUAUCACAGGGAUCUAGCAGAUUAAAAUGCAGAUUUAGGAGGAGAGUUACAGACUUCUACUGACAUCUGUAGCAAACAUCCAUAUCAUACAUCUCUGAGAAGUUCAUAUGAAUAUUCCUGGGCAUCAAUUCACAGCCUUGCAAAGCUGUUAAAAUAUAUAAUGAUCAUAGCUUUUGUAGUAGUGAACUUGCAUAUUUGAGCAAAGAAGAUGAUGUGUCAGAUUGGUUGCAUUAAGAGUGGACCAAGAAGCUAAUCACUUCCAUAUCUCCAAUUACAUUUUUCCCUUGUAAAAAAGGGAUAAACGACUACAAUUCCACUGUAUUUUCAAAUGUAAUUCAAACUUGGACCUCUGCUGUCUUUAAUAGACAAACAGACAAAAUGUCAGUGAGAAGGGAUUUUAAAAUCUGUAUUUUAAACACUGCAGUAGUAUAACCAGUCAGGACACAAAAUUACUUGUACACUGCUAACUCAGUGUAUUACUGCAACAAAUAUAUACUACAAUCGCUUUCAGAAAAGAGAUAGUAAAAUAAUUAUGCAAAAAAAAUCAAGACCAUCAGAACACUUCUAAAUUAUUAAAAGAUCAUGCAUCACAUGUAUUUGAGAUGUAAAGAGAGGGCUGAUUUUGUUAGAUUUUUUUUUUUUUUUUUUGCUUUACAUCUGGGUUGCAAUGGAUUAUUACUGCAGGAAAGGUAAACGUGAAACCAUUGAAAUAACCACAUUCCUUCUUUUAUGUCUUUUAUGUUUAAAUGUGUUUCCAGCUCAUAUCUAUAUGUUGACAAAAUCAAAUAUUGGUCUCUUCUUAAUUUUCCAAGCUACAGAAGAUAAUUGCACAGUAGAAAACAAGACCUAAUACAAGAUGUAGCAACUGGAAUUUCAUGCUGCUUAUAUGUAGUCAUUUAAAAGAUAGAAAUUCACAAGGAAAUGUGACUCAUUUUAACUUUGGAGAGACAUUUUCUUAACUGUGUGUCUCAGUUUAGAGACAAAUUUUAGGACAGAAUGCACUGGAAUGAGCAUUUCCUCUAAAUAGAAGGGCUUUGAUAAUUCCAUUUGACAAUGAGGGAAAUUAAUACCAAUGAGUUAAAAUUAAAAAAACCCAACCUGAUACAGAUAAGUAAUGUAAUAGUUGACUCUCACAAUUAAGAGAUAGGUAUUAUGUGUAUGUUAAGAUGUGCAGUGAUGUUAUUGUAAUAUGACCCCCAUGGUCCUCUUUCCCCUCCCCGUAUAAUAGCCUUAGUGAUCAGGGCAGGUGGGAGGGCAGGCUUGUUACUAAGAAGCAUGGCAUAGGAACACCUGACCUCCAAUCAAGUUGCAAGAGAACAAUCUCCACCACCAAUGGACGGCAACGAAGAGUUAAGUGACAGGGUUUAGGAGGGACUAGAGUUACCUGAUGCAACACCAAAGGUAUAAAAGGGUGAGCAGCCAUUUUUGUGAAUGAACCACGUGGCUGGUAGUCAUGGAGAUGGCUCCCAGGACUGUAAUUUUUCCAUAUUCUGUCCUUUGUUGUAAUUUUUUGUUAAGGUUUAAUUAACCUUUAAAAUUUUAAAAGUGAGCAGUUGUUUCUCACAAAAAUCAAGCUGUUUAUUAACAAAAAAAAAAAAAAGUGCCCACAAAG